rnacentral:lncRNA from 1 species
GUAAGUGUGUGGUUUUGUUUUAUUUCUCACGUAAAACUUCACAUUGUUUUCUUAUUGUCUGUUUCUUUUACCUUCCUUUUUGAUGUGUUACACAGGUGUCGUGGUUUAACCCGGCCGGCAGCUAAACACCACGCAGCCGUUUGCUCACCCUCCCCCCUCCCUUUCUGGGACGGGGGAGAGAAAUGGAAAGUGAAGCCUGCUGGAAGGAUUAUCCUGUUGCAUUGUAAACAACCACUAAACCUUCUAAAGAGAUUUCUCAUCUGCACUGUUUUGCUGGUGAGUUGCUUGAAGCCUGAUGCUAUAAAGAUAAUAGAAUUAGCAGACCUAGCAGGCCUCAUUAUUUUUAAUUACUAUUACUGCUGCUCACACACUACAUGUAAUUUGGUAAUGCUGGAGUGGGGUGAGGGGAGGGAACCAAUUCUGUAUUUCAGAAUGGUCCAUCAUAGAAGUGUUUGUUGUCAAAUCCUUCUGUAAAUUAUGUGUUUCUUUCAGAUUUAUCUUCUAAAUAAUAUUCUGAUCAAAUCUCAGAAACUCAACCUAACAGUAAGAAAAGGGAAUGCAGACCAUAAAUAGGUCAAAAUCAAAGUACCUUCAGCUCACAGUUUGGUUCAUUUAUCAAAGCAAAAUCAAUUGUUAUUAUUAGCCUAUUAUCAUCAUCCUUCCAGUGAGCUGGCUUCAUUUUAAUCAAUAUUUCUAAUUAGUCUACAUCAAAUACAGUUUUUUUAGUCUACAUCAAAUACAGUUUUAAACUGUAGCAACUCAGCUCAGUGUAGGCUAAAUAUAUAUGUGUGUUUCUGUGUCUCUUCUUUCCAUUAUUCCAUUAUUCUUUACAAAUAAGUAAUAAGCAGCCACGUGAAAAACAUAUUUGUAACAGUUAUGCAUCAGAGUCAAUAAUAGAUUACGUACUGUGUUAAAAUGCUGUUUGUCUUUCAUUUGUAUGAAUUAUAUGCUUUAAACAGUGCAUCAUGUAAUAAGUUACUCAUCAUUAAAUAACUUCAAAUAAUCAUCACUGAAGUUUCCGUCACAGCAAAGAGAAACUGAGGAUCAGUGCUCUGUGCCAUGGUUUCUACUGGCUAAUUUUGACUUGUAAAAUAAAUGUUCAUGGAAAUGGCUUCAAGUCCCCCUUAUCCCAUUCCUUUUCAUCCCAGAAGUAUUUUGGCUCUUCCAUGGUUUGUCUGAUAGCUCCCUAAAUUUAUAUGUAUUAUAUAUUCUUUCUGAUUUUCCCCUAUUAAAUUAGUAUUGCUACUUUAUACAUGCAGUGCUAAAAGCAAAGUAGAAUUAAUCCAUACUGGUUCUGUCUCGCUCUCAUGUCUUGCACUGGCCCAAGCAGGGAUUUCAUGUUUUUUAAAGAGAACAACGAAAAAGCACCUGUUUACAUUAUUAUUAUUAUUAUUAUUAUUAUUAUUAUUUAAUUUUGGCUGCCUAUUAGAAGGCUACACAGAUGGUCCACUUCUUCCUUCCCCUUAGUAGAAAUACAGCAACUGCUAUGGAUAAGAACAAUUGUUCUGCUUUCUUUCAGGGAUUUAGACACUAGUUAUUCAUGCAGUAACAGUUUCCAUAAGUUAUACUUUCCAGGUGGACAACAUGGUUCUAGUUCAAGCGUUCAUAACUCGGGAGUCUUUAGCAUCUCAAUGUAUGUUCUAAUUUAUGAAAGUAAGAGGAGGCUUAUGUAAGCUGCUUUUCCUAAACACAAAUAAAUUGAUGUGUGUUUCUAUAUAUACACAUCAGAAGCCUUUCUUUGGAGGUCAAUGGAAAGAGCAGAUUAUUGAGAGAAGUCCAGUUCUGUUGCUGAUAUACGGAAGUUGCUCUGCCCAGUGAGGUCAGCAAGGGCACAAUAUGUACUGCAUCUUUGCAAAUAAUUUUGUCAUAGUUUAGUUCAUGUGACUCUAGGCCUGCAUUUUCUAUUUAAAAAUUAUACUAAUCCUUAAUCUUUUUACUUAUGUAUCUCAUCCAGUCAUCCAAACUAUUCUCUUAACAGUGGAUGUGUGAACCCAGAACAACCAGCCUUUCCUUGACUCUGGUGUCAACUACACGUGUGCACUGUUGUUUAAACAUGCAGUUUCUGUGUUUCUCACUCUGACAGGCUGCUUUGUCUGUUUUAACUCCUGUGCUUCCUCUAUUGUAUAUUCUGAAGUCAGCUACAGUUUUCAGUAAUACUUCUA